AUACGAAGGGUGCAAGCGUUAAUCGGAAUUACUGGGCUUAAAGGGUGCGUAGGCGGCGCGGUCAGUUGGGUGUGAAAUCCCUCGGCUCAACCGAGGAACUGCGCCCAAUACUACCGUGCUCGAGGGAGACAGAGGCGAGCGGAACUGAUGGUGGAGCGGUGAAAUGCGUUGAUAUCAUCAGGAACACCAGUGGCGAAAGCGGCUCGCUGGGUCUCUUCUGACGCUGAGGCACGAAAGCUAGGGUAGCGAACAGGAUUAGAAACCCCAGUAGUCC
rnacentral:rRNA from 1 species